UGCAAGUCGAGCGAACAGAGAAGGAGCUUGCUCCUUUGACGUUAGCGGCGGACGGGUGAGUAACACGUGGGCAACCUACCUUAUAGUUUGGGAUAACUCCGGGAAACCGGGGCUAAUACCGAAUAAUCUGUUUCACCUCAUGGUGAAAUAUUGAAAGACGGUUUCGGCUGUCGCUAUAGGAUGGGCCCGCGGCGCAUUAGCUAGUUGGUGAGGUAACGGCUCACCAAGGCGACGAUGCGUAGCCGACCUGAGAGGGUGAUCGGCCACACUGGGACUGAGACACGGCCCAGACUCCUACGGGAGGCAGCAGUAGGGAAUCUUCCACAAUGGGCGAAAGCCUGAUGGAGCAACGCCGCGUGAGUGAAGAAGGAUUUCGGUUCGUAAAACUCUGUUGUAAGGGAAGAACAAGUACAGUAGUAACUGGCUGUACCUUGACGGUACCUUAUUAGA
rnacentral:rRNA from 1 species